rnacentral:rRNA from 1 species
CGUGCCCAGUAAUGGGGGAUAGCCCGGCGAAAGCCGGAUUAAUACCGCAUACGACCUACGGGUGAAAGCGGGGGAUCGCAAGACCUCGCGUUAUUGGAGCGGCCGAUAUCAGAUUAGCUUGUUGGCGGGGUAAAAGCCCACCAAGGCGACGAUCUGUAGCUGGUCUGAGAGGACGACCAGCCACACUGGGACUGAGACACGGCCCAGACUCCUACGGGAGGCAGCAGUGGGGAAUUUUGGACAAUGGGCGCAAGCCUGAUCCAGCCAUGCCGCGUGUGGGAAGAAGGCCUUCGGGUUGUAAACCACUUUUGUCAGGGAAGAAACGGCCUUUACUAAUAUUAGAGGCUAAUGACGGUACCUGAAGAAUAAGCACCGGCUAACUACGUG